rnacentral:RNase_P_RNA from 1 species
GGCAGAGGGAGACCGGCUUCCGUGUCCCGGCCGCGAGAAGGGACAUGAGGAAAGUCCCCCCACCAGUCGGGCAGGUGACCGGACGCAAGUCCGGGGCGGGAGACCGCCGGCUCUGGAACAGAAACGCGACCCCUCUCCCCGACCGAUGAGGCGUGCGAACCCCGCGCAAAAGGCAUCCGCCGACGAAGCAACGGGGAGUUAACCCGCCGAGGGCGCGGGACCCAGAAGGGUCCCGAUUUGGCGAACGGGCGUUGCGAGGUGCGACAGCACCUCGAAGCCGCGGCGCGUAGCGCCGCGCUGUCCGUGAGCACCGAGGUCCAACGGACCUCGCAGGCUGCGUAGCAGCCUACAGACGGGAGAGAACGGCUGGAACGGCGAACCCUCACCGGUGCAAGCCCGGCCCGACAAGGUAGCCCGACGGCUGGGCCGGGUGCGUAGCCGAAUGCCGGCGAACAGAAGGGGGCUUACUCCCCUCAGCC